rnacentral:rRNA from 1 species
GACGAACGCUGGCGGCGUGCUUAACACAUGCAAGUCGAACGGACAGGCCCUGCUCUUGUGGGGUUCUCGAGUGGCGAACGGGUGAGUAACACGUGAGUAUCCUGCACUUGACUUUCGGAUAACUUUAGGAAACUGGGGCUAAUAUCCGAUAGGAUCUCCUGCUGCGUAGUGGUCGCUGGAAAGUGUCGGCGGUUGGGGCUGUACUCGCGGCUUAUCCGCUUGUUGGUGUGGUAGUGGCUUACGAAGGGUGUGACGGGUAGGCUGCCUGAGAGGGUGACCGGCGACAUUGGGCCUGAGGGACGGACCAGACUCGUACGGGAGGCAGCAGUGGGGAAUAUGGCACAACGGGGGGGAGCGUGAUGUAGAAACGCUGGGUGCGGGAAGCCGGCUUACGGGUUGUAAACAGCUGUCGCAUGUGACGUAGCGUGCGUGACGGUAACGGGUCAAAAAGCCCCGGCUAACUACGUG